rnacentral:rRNA from 1 species
GACGGCCUUCGGGUUGUAAACCUCUUUUAGCAGGGAAGAAGCGUGAGUGACGGUACCUGCAGAAAAAGCGCCGGCUAACUACGUGCCAGCAGCCGCGGUAAUACGUAGGGCGCAAGCGUUAUCCGGAAUUAUUGGGCGUAAAGAGCUCGUAGGCGGUUUGUCGCGUCUGCUGUGAAAUCCCGAGGCUCAACCUCGGGCCUGCAGUGGGUACGGGCAGACUAGAGUGCGGUAGGGGAGAUUGGAAUUCCUGGUGUAGCGGUGGAAUGCGCAGAUAUCAGGAGGAACACCGAUGGCGAAGGCAGAUCUCUGGGCCGUAACUGACGCUGAGGAGCGAAAGGGUGGGGAGCAAACAGGCUUAGAUACCCUGGUAGUCCACCCCGUAAACGUUGGGAACUAGUUGUGGGGACCAUUCCACGGUUUCCGUGACGCAGCUAACGCAUUAAGUUCCCCGCCUGGGGAGUACGGCC